rnacentral:lncRNA from 1 species
AGAAUUUUUGUGUGUUCCCUUAUGUAGAGCUUUGUCCCUGACAACUGCUGGCAUCUGUCUCCCUUUCAGUGCUCCCCUGUGGGAUUCCUGGUUGUGCUCCAUGCAUGACAUCCCUGCCUCACUGAUUCUGCUCUGACCCACAGGCACAGCCUCCCUGGGAAGGGUUUUCCUGGCUCCUCACCAUGUUUUCUGGAGAGGAAGGAAGGGAGUGGAAGGGAACACCAAGAUGAGAUGGCUCUCUAGCCUUCUUCUCUUACUGAUGCUUUGACCUGAGGGUGCUCCUCUGCAAUCUACCAAGGUGCACAAUUUGUAAAAUUACCUACUGCCUCCAAUUCCAGCCUUCUCCCAUCCAUGGGAUUCUCCCUCCUGUUCUGUCUGGUUUCAAACACCAAAGAAAAUCUCAUUUAAGUGGAGUGCAUAGAGAGGCAGCCCAGCAGUUACCAGUAAACAAAUUACCAAGAAUUCACAUUUAGAGUGCCCACGUAUCUUGUGUUGUGAAGGAUGUCCCUUAGCAGGCUUCAACUUGCUAAAAACCAUGUCCUAGAAAUGUGGAUCCAACCUCAUCCUGGGAACCUGAGCUUCCAAAGAUGGGCCACAGCCGAGUGCUACAAGUGUUUGCUACAGUCUGGUACAGAAUGAAAAGGAGAGGAAGAACUUGUUGCCUCACAGUGUAAAAAAUGCAUUGAAUAUUAGUAAUGAGUGAAUGGAUGAAGGGCUUCCAUCAAUAAAAUCUA